rnacentral:sRNA from 1 species
AUGGAUAAAGUCGGAAAUUCAAACAGUUAGCGCAGGCUCUCUAUGAGCCCUUCCCCUAGGCCCAAAGCAGGAUCAGCAUUGGGCCUUUUUUU